CGUCCGCCCUUUAGGAAAAAAAAAGAGAGAGCAAGGGCUCCUCUCUUAGUUUUCAAGAAGAAAAACCUUGAUUUACGAAGAUCCAACAGUUGGAUCUUCAAUCCGUCUUCGGAAAUGUGAUCCUUGCACUCGGAUCUAUGUUUUCACCGAUUGUUUUAGGUAUUUGGGCUUAUUGGAGCUUACUUGAGGCUACCCAAACUUUGGGUUGAAGUUUGGUGAAUUUGGGUACACCUAACUUAGAGGAGGACCCCAUAGUUGCGUAUUUGGGAUACUACGAUUGAAGCACUCCGCGACAGUCGUAUUGGGUUGGACUAUGGAGUUCACUCUUUGGGGUAUUUUGUAUAUGGCUAGUGACAUAGGUGUCACAUAUUCUUUUGUAUUAAUGGGUAAUUGUAAGCCAUAAGCAGUUAGACAGAUAUAUGGCUCUUUUGUAUGGACCACAUGUUAUUUUUAGAUGUGCUUUUCGUUA